rnacentral:rRNA from 1 species
CUCAAAGGAAUUGACGGGGCCCGCACAAGCGGUGGAGCAUGUGGUUUAAUUCGACGCAACGCGAAGAACCUUACCAGGGCUUGACAUCCCCUGACCGCGUAUGAAAGUACGUUUUCACCCUCGGGUGACAGGGAGACAGGUGGUGCAUGGUUGUCGUCAGCUCGUGUCGUGAGAUGUUGGGUUAAGUCCCGCAACGAGCGCAACCCUCGUCCUUAGUUGCCAUCAUUUGGUUGGGCACUCUAGUGAGACUGCCGGUGACAAACCGGAGGAAGGUGGGGAUGACGUCAAGUCCUCAUGGCCCUUAUGGGUAGGGCUUCACACGUCAUACAAUGGUCGGUACAGAGGGUUGCCAAGCCGCGAGGUGGAGCCAAUCCCUUAAAGCCGAUCGUAGUCCGGAUCGUAGUCUGCAACUCGACUACGUGAAGUCGGAAUCGCUAGUAAUCGCAGAUCAGCAUGCUGCGGUGAAUACGUUCCCGGGUCUU